rnacentral:rRNA from 1 species
CCUACGGGUGGCAGCAGUCGAGAAUCUUUCACAAUGGGGGAAACCCUGAUGGUGCGACGCCGCGUGGGGGAAUAAAGGUCUCCGGAUUGUAAACUCCUUUCAUGUGGGAGCAAAUUAAAAAGAUAGUACCACAAGAGGAAGAGACGGCUAACCCCGUGCCAGCAGCCGCGGUAAUACAGAGGUCUCAAGCGUUGUUCGGAAUCACUGGGCGUAAAGGGGGCGUAGGCAGUUUCGUAAGUCGUGUGUGAAAGGCGCGGGCUCAACCCGCGAACGGCACGUGAUACUGGGAGACUAGAGUGCAGGAGGGGGAACCGGAAUUCUUGGUGUAGCAGUGAAAUGCGUAGAUAUCAGGAGGAACACUCGUGGCGAAGGCGGGUUCCUGGACAUUAACUGACGCUGAGGCACGAAGGCGAGGGGAGCGAAAAGGAUUAGAUACCCGAGUAGUC